AACGCUGGCGGCAUGCCUUACACAUGCAAGUCGAACGGUAACAGGUCUUCGGAUGCUGACGAGUGGCGAACGGGUGAGUAAUACAUCGGAACGUGCCCGAUCGUGGGGGAUAACGGAGCGAAAGCUUUGCUAAUACCGCAUACGAUCUACGGAUGAAAGCAGGGGACCGCAAGGCCUUGCGCGGACGGAGCGGCCGAUGGCAGAUUAGGUAGUUGGUGGGAUAAAAGCUUACCAAGCCGACGAUCUGUAGCUGGUCUGAGAGGACGACCAGCCACACUGGGACUGAGACACGGCCCAGACUCCUACGGGAGGCAGCAGUGGGGAAUUUUGGACAAUGGGCGCAAGCCUGAUCCAGCCAUGCCGCGUGCAGGAUGAAGGCCUUCGGGUUGUAAACUGCUUUUGUACGGAACGAAAAGACUCCUUCUAAUAAAGGGGGUCCAUGACGGUACCGUAAGAAUAAGCACCGGCUAACUACGUGCCAGCAGCCGCGGUAAUACGUAGGGUGCAAGCGUUAAUCGGAAUUACUGGGCGUAAAGCGUGCGCAGGCGGUUAUAUAAGACAGAUGUGAAAUCCCCGGGCUCAACCUGGGAACUGCAUUUGUGACUGUAUAGCUAGAGUACGGCAGAGGGGGAUGGAAUUCCGCGUGUAGCAGUGAAAUGCGUAGAUAUGCGGAGGAACACCGAUGGCGAAGGCAAUCCCCUGGGCCUGUACUGACGCUCAUGCACGAAAGCGUGGGGAGC
rnacentral:rRNA from 1 species